UACGUAGGGUCCGAGCGUUGUCCGGAAUUACUGGGCGUAAAGAGCUCGUAGGUGGUUUGUCGCGUUGUUCGUGAAAACUCACAGCUUAACUGUGGGCGUGCGGGCGAUACGGGCAGACUUGAGUACUGCAGGGGAGACUGGAAUUCCUGGUGUAGCGGUGGAAUGCGCAGAUAUCAGGAGGAACACCGGUGGCGAAGGCGGGUCUCUGGGCAGUAACUGACACUGAGAAGCGAAAGCAUGGGGAGCGAACAGG
rnacentral:rRNA from 1 species